rnacentral:rRNA from 1 species
UGGCUGUGAUGGCUAGGAGGAUACACCUGUUCCCAUCCCGAACACAGAAGUUAAUGACCUAACAGCAAUCUGUGAUUGCGUCGUAGGUCAGAUGCUAAGAA